rnacentral:rRNA from 1 species
CCUACGUGAGGCAGCAGUGGGGAAUAUUGGGCAAUGGAGGAAACUCUGACCCAGCAACGCCGCGUGAAUGAUGCAGGUCUUCGGAUUGUAAAGUUCUUUUCUAAGGGAAGAAGAAAGUGACGGUACCUUAGGAAUAAGCCUCGGCUAACUACGUGCCAGCAGCCGCGGUAAUACGUAGGAGGCAAGCGUUAUCCGGAAUGACUGGUCGUAAAGGGUGCGUAGGUGGUUUGACAAGUUGGUAGCGUAACUCCGGGGCUCAACCUCGGCACUACUACCAAAACUGUCGGACUUGAGUGCAGGAGGGGCAAAUGGAAUUCCUAGUGUAGCGGUGGAAUGCGUAGAUAUUAGGAGGAACACCAGUGGCGAAGGCAGCUUACUAAACUGUGACUGACAUUGAUGCUCGAAAGUGUGGGUAUCAAACAGGAUUAGAUACCCUAGUAGUC